ensembl:misc_RNA Metazoa_SRP Metazoan signal recognition particle RNA
GCCGGGUGCGGUGGCGCGCGCCUGUAAUCCAAGCUACCGGGAGGCUGAGGCUGGCGGAUCGUUUGAGCUCAGGAGCUCUGAGCUGCAGCGGACUAUGCCGAUCGGGUGUCCGCACUAAGUUCGGUAUCGAUAUGGUGCUCCUGGGGGAGCUCGGGACCACCAGGUCGCCUAAGGAGGGGUGCACCGGCCCAGGUCGGGAACGGAGCAGGUCAAAGCCCCCGUGCCGCUCAGUAGUGGGAUCGCGCCUGUGAAUAGACGCUGUAGUGCAGCCUGAGUAAUACAGCGGGACCCAGUCUUUU